CCCAGGGCAGAGCCCCCAGCCCGGCCCCUGCCCCGGGGGCCCCGCUCGGAGGGAAGGCUGAGGAAUCACGUUAAUCUUUCGAUCCAGAUGGGCCCGUCUUCCAGGACGCAGGAAAGGGAAAUGUCUGUGACGGAGCCAGCUUGGAUGCCGGUGACCUUUGAGGAGGUGGCUGUGUAUUUCACCCAGGA